rnacentral:rRNA from 1 species
CUUCCUACGGGGCGCAGCAGUGGGGAAUAUUGCACAAUGGGGGAAACCCUGAUGCAGCAACGCCGCGUGAGUGAAGAAGUAUUUCGGUAUGUAAAGCUCUAUCAGCAGGGAAGAAGAUGACGGUACCUGAUUAAGAAGCCCCGGCUAACUACGUGCCAGCAGCCGCGGUAAUACGUAGGGGGCAAGCGUUAUCCGGAUUCACUGGGUGUAAAGGGAGCGUAGACGGCCAUGCAAGCCUGGAGUGAAAGCCCGGGGCCCAACCCCGGGACUGCUCUGGGAACUGUGCGGCUGGAG